AGUGAACGCUGGCGGUAGGCCUAACACAUGCAAGUCGAACGGCAGCACAGUAAGAGCUUGCUCUUACGGGUGGCGAGUGGCGGACGGGUGAGGAAUACAUCGGAAUCUACUUUUUCGUGGGGGAUAACGUAGGGAAACUUACGCUAAUACCGCAUACGACCUACGGGUGAAAGCAGGGGAUCUUCGGACCUUGCGCGAUUGAAUGAGCCGAUGUCGGAUUAGCUAGUUGGCGGGGUAAAGGCCCACCAAGGCGACGAUCCGUAGCUGGUCUGAGAGGAUGAUCAGCCACACUGGAACUGAGACACGGUCCAGACUCCUACGGGAGGCAGCAGUGGGGAAUAUUGGGCAAUGGGCGCAAGCCUGAUCCAGCCAUACCGCGUGGGUGAAGAAGGCCUUCGGGUUGUAAAGCCCUUUUGUUGGGAAAGAAAAGCAGCAGGUUAAUACCCCGCUGUUCCGACGGUACCCAAAGAAUAAGCACCGGCUAACUUCGUG
rnacentral:rRNA from 1 species